AAAAAAAAAACAAAACAAAACAACAAUGAACAACAAGGGACGAUGUGGCCCUUACCUGCCGUGGAACCAGUCCUUGCAGGCAUCGCACUCGAUCAUAAACUGGGUCACGUCGUAAGGAAAAAAAGCCAGGGGCAGUCCCGCCGGACGCAUGAAGCUCAAGCGCGCAGCAGCUCCAUCACGACGCGGCCGCGUUUGCGCUCGUACGAGGCGGUGGAGAGGACGGAGGCUGGUCGUAGCAGGCUUCCCUGGAGUGCAUUAUUAUUAUCGUUAUUAUUAUUACUAUGUGCAUGCCCCCUGGUGACUGCGCGGCACCGACGCGGUCAUGUUAAGGUAUAUAGACAUAAGGAGCCCAGAGGAGAAGGAAGAAAAAAAAAAUGGUAGAUAGAUAAGAUAGUUAAAUAAAUAAAGAAGUGAAUGAGGAGGGAGGGAAAUUACGUCAGGGAGCAGGUUUAUAAUCAGACGAAAGAGUGGAUCGGAUCCAUCAACAAUGCAGAUAAUGUAUCAGCAAGACUUGGGCUGUUAUAAAUAUAUUUAUAUAUAUUUAAAUAUAGAUAUGGACCGAAGCCCUGCACACAUUUACCUGUCAUUAUAUCAUGUCAGCAUUACAUUUAGUUUAUUAUUUUAUUUCUAUUAUUUGACACGGUGUAAAACACACAAUUAUAAUAAUAUAUCCCUUACAUUUAGCUUAAUGUGACACUGUAUAUAACAAAUAAUAUAUACAAUCAUGAUACCAUUUAGCUUGAUGUCUAAUCACAAUAUUUUAUUUAUGACGAUGUAAUACAUGCAAUUAUAAUAUUAUUUUUUUUACAUUAGCUUAAUGAUGUACUUAUUUCUAUUAUUUGACACUGUAUAUAACAAGUAAUAUAUGCAAUUAAAAUAUAAUUUUACAUUUAUCUCAAUGAUAUACUUUUUUUAUUUCUGUUAUUUGACAGUGUAUGUGACAUAUAAUUUACAAAAUUAUGAUACAUCCACUACAUUUAACUUAGUGGUGGACUUUUAUUAUUUUAUUUCUAUUAUUUGACACUGCAUAUAACAAAUAAUACACGCUAUAAUUAUAAUAUCACUUUUUAUAUUUAUCUUAAUGACAUACUUGUGUUAUUUCUUUUAUUUGACAGUGUAUAUGAUACAUAAUGUCUACUUUUAUUAUUUUAUUUUGAUUAAUAUUUGCCAUUAAUGAUGACAUAUAAUAUACAUACUUAUAAUACAACCGUGUACAGUUUUCUAUAAAAUACUGCACAUAGUUGUAUUAUACGUACGUAUAUAAACGUUAAUGCUUUUAUUACUAUUUUGCAUCACACAUAAUAUGCAUCAUUGUAAUACUACUUUAUAUAGUCCUUCUGCAGUAAACUAUGAUUAUGUAUUGUACACAGCGUAAGCUGAUCCAAGUACGACCUGAAAAAUGAAAUGGAAAGAAAAGUGAGUUGUGUUUUUUUUAUAUCAAGUAUAACAUCAGUGUUCUGUGUAUUGAUAUACAGUCGGUACAGCAGGUUUCACAGUGUCGCUGACAAAUAGAUUUUUCAUUUCAUCAUCAUUCAUUUGCAUGUUAUUAACCUUGUUACAACAGAAACAACAACAAACUGUCACUAAGUCCUCUCACAAAUGUUCCAGUAUUAAACUAUUAAACUGUAAAGUGUAAUAAUAGCGCUUCACGUCAAACUUUUUGCAUACAGAUCAGUUUCUAAUAAAAGUAUUUUAUUAUUAAUAGAGUAUAUGUGGUGAUAUUAGUCCUUUUAUUGGUCUUUUUUUAUAAUUUAAUUUCA